rnacentral:ncRNA from 1 species
AACCGCCGUAUGCCGAACGGCACGUACGGUGGUGUGAGAGGGAAGGAAACGAAAGUAGGUCAGAAAACUUUCGUUUCCCGACCUACUCGAU